rnacentral:lncRNA from 1 species
AGAAUAAAUAAAUAAUAUUUUUUCUCAACUACGUCAUAAAAAGUUUUUAACUUGUCAGAUAUACUGGUUAAAUUCAUUUCGAAAAAUAUAUAGAGCGGAUGUAAUAAAAUCUACGUGAGUAUUUCACAAAAAGCUUCAAACCUUGAAGCUUUUUGAUUGAGCGGAACUUUCAGUGAGUAAUAGCAUAACAGAUGGUGUUUAGAUGAAAGAAGUGCUACUGGCAUCUAGAAACAUUAGACGUGAUGCGUGGAGAAAAAGUUCAAGACCAGAACAUCUUGAUGUACUUUACUGAGUAAAUCAUGAUCAAUUGAGGAAGGUGGGUUUAUUUAUUUGUUGUUAAGCACAAAGCUAUACAGUAAGCUAUCUGUGCUGUGACAGAUGUCGAAACCCAAAUUUUAUCAUUAUAAGCUCUCAGACUAGCCACUGAACCACCUGAGCACUUCAGGUGCAUAUAUAAGGUUAUCCUUUGAAGGAAACAAAGGCCUGGUUUGUUCCUUAUCUUGAAGAGGGAUGAAAUUACCAAUAUUUGAUGGCAUUUGGGGCGAUACUUAUCAACUGGUUUGCAAGUGCGCACAGCAUGCAGAGUUUUAACUGCUAUUCAAUGGUGGACAUCUGGAGCAAACACGUGAGAAAGAGCACAGAUGGUUCGUGUUUACUUCAAGGUCUACGCUUAAGAGCUUACUUUUGACAACAGAAGACUUCCUACAAAGGGCAAAGUAGUCAUCUGGUUCACUGUGUCACUGUCAAGCGAAGAGGAUUGUGUUGCUGCUCCGGACCUUGUUGGCCUGAGAAAACUACUGUGGUUUCACCAUUUAGGUUUCGUCCCAUUUCUUCC